UUUUUCAGUAGUUUAAGACAUGCAAAUCGUUGUUUCCAAAGUCCUUAAUGAAUUAAUAUUUUUAAUAUUAAUGGGAUCCGGGGAUAAGGUGUAGAGGUGAGUAUGUUAAAUAAGAUACCCUAUAGUCUUCUUAGCUAGGAGAUACAAAGUAAAGGAAAAUUUCUGCUAUAGGAUUCUAUUUAAUUUGAUUAGGUAGUUGAUAGGGUAACGGCCUACCAAGCCAACGAUCAAAAGUCAAGUUUGAAAGAACCUCUGGCCACAUUGGGGAUUAAAUCUCCCAAGUAGUAAUAACACUACCAGCAGUCGAGAAUAUUAGUCAAUGCUCGAAAGAGUGAACUAGCUAACUGAAAUCAUAGAAUUUUUUCAAAUUCAUGAUGUCGUAAGGGAAAAUAAUGAUAAUACCUUACUAUGAGUGUCGUCCAAAUCUGGUGCCAGAAGACUCGGUAAGACCAGAGACGCAAACGUUAAUCAUCAUAAACAGGCGUAAAGGGUUUGUAGGCAGCUUUUAUAGGAUUCUUUUUAAAGGUAAUCUAAAUUGAAAGCUAGAAUCAAAAAGAGGUUAUAGUGUAUAACGCCUAGAGGAGGGCUGAUAUCCGUAGAUCCUAGGCAGAAUACUCAGGGCGAAGGCCACUCUCCACUAAUGAUUGACGCUGAGAAACGAAGGUUAGGGUAGGAAAUAGGAU
rnacentral:rRNA from 1 species